UACGGAGGGGGCAAGCGUUGUUCGGAAUCAUUGGGCGUAAAGGGCGCGUAGGCGGCCGACCAAGUCGGGUGUGAAAUCCCUCGGCUCAACCGAGGAACUGCAUUCGAUACUGGUUGGCUAGAGUCCGGGAGGGGAUGGUGGAAUUCCCAGUGUAGCGGUGAAAUGCGUAGAUAUUGGGAAGAACACCGGUGGCGAAGGCGGCCAUCUGGGCCGGCACUGACGCUGAGGCGCGAAAGCCAGGGGAGCGAAUGGG
rnacentral:rRNA from 1 species